UAAGGGAUAUUGGUCAAUGGGCGCAAGCCUGAACCAGCCAUGCCGCGUGCAGGAAGACGGCCCUAUGGGUUGUAAACUGCUUUUGUCAGGGAAUAAACCCCCGCUCGUGAGCGGGGCUGAAGGUACCUGAAGAAUAAGCAUCGGCUAACUCCGUGCCAGCAGCCGCGGUAAUACGGAGGAUGCAAGCGUUAUCCAGAUUCAUUGGGUUUAAAGGGUGCGCAGGCGGAUUGGUAAGUCAGGGGUGAAAUCCCACAGCUCAACUGUGGAACUGCCUUUGAUACUGUCAGUCUAGAGUAUAGUUGAAGUGGGCGGAAUGUGUCAUGUAGCGGUGAAAUGCUUAGAUAUGACACAGAACACCGAUCGCGAAGGCAGCUCGCUAAGCUAUAACUGACGCUCAUGCACGAAAGCGUGGGGA
rnacentral:rRNA from 1 species